GUGAGGAAUAUUGGUCAAUGGACGAGAGUCUGAACCAGCCAAGUCGCGUGAAGGAAGACGGUUCUAUGAAUUGUAAACUUCUUUUGUGCAGGAAUAAAGUGGGUUACGUGUAACCUUUUGUAUGUACUGUACGAAUAAGGAUCGGCUAACUCCGUGCCAGCAGCCGCGGUAAUACGGAGGAUCCGAGCGUUAUCCGGAUUUAUUGGGUUUAACGGGUGCGUAGGUGGAUUGAUAAGUCAGCGGUGAAAGUUUGCAGCUUAACUGUAAAAUUGCCGUUGAAACUGUCGGUCUUGAGUGCAAAUGAGGUAGGCGGAAUGUGUUGUGUAGCGGUGAAAUGCUUAGAUAUAACACAGAACUCCGAUUGCGAAGGCAGCUUACUGGGAUGCAACUGACACUGAUGCACGAAAGCGUGGGUAUCAAACAGGAUUAGAAACCCGUGUAGUCC
rnacentral:rRNA from 1 species